rnacentral:pre_miRNA from 1 species
UUAGUACUCCCUCCGUCCGGAAAUACUUGUCAUUGAAAUGGAUGUAUCUAGAUGUAUUUUAGUUCUAAAUACAUCCAUUUUCAUACAUUUUGUUGACAAGUAUUUCCGGACGGAGGGAGUAGUAU